rnacentral:rRNA from 1 species
GGAUGCGAUCAUACCAGCACUAAAGCACCGGAUCCCAUCAGAACUUCGAAGUUAAGCUUGCUUGGGCGAGAGUAGUACUUGGAUGGGUGACCUCCUGGGAAGUCCUCGUGUUGCAUUCCC